AAAGCACUCCCUCCGUCCCAAAAUUCUUGUCUUAGAUUUGUCUAGAUACGGAUGUAUCAAGUCACAUUUUAGUAUUAGAUACAUCCGUAUCUACACAAAUCUAAGACAAGAAAUUUGGGACAGAGGGAGUAGUUC
rnacentral:pre_miRNA from 1 species